rnacentral:rRNA from 1 species
AAAUUGAAGAGUUUGAUCAUGGCUCAGAUUGAACGCUGGCGGCAGGCCUAACACAUGCAAGUCGAACGGUAACAGGAAGAAGCUUGCUUCUUUGCUGACGAGUGGCGGACGGGUGAGUAAUGUCUGGGAAACUGCCUGAUGGAGGGGGAUAACUACUGGAAACGGUAGCUAAUACCGCAUAACGUCGCAAGACCAAAGAGGGGGACCUUCGGGCCUCUUGCCAUCGGAUGUGCCCAGAUGGGAUUAGCUAGUAGGUGGGGUAACGGCUCACCUAGGCGACGAUCCCUAGCUGGUCUGAGAGGAUGACCAGCCACACUGGAACUGAGACACGGUCCAGACUCCUACGGGAGGCAGCAGUGGGGAAUAUUGCACAAUGGGCGCAAGCCUGAUGCAGCCAUGCCGCGUGUAUGAAGAAGGCCUUCGGGUUGUAAAGUACUUUCAGCGGGGAGGAAGGGAGUAAAGUUAAUACCUUUGCUCAUUGACGUUACCCGCAGAAGAAGCACCGGCUAACUCCGUGCCAGCAGCCGCGGUAAUACGGAGGGUGCAAGCGUUAAUCGGAAUUACUGGGCGUAAAGCGCACGCAGGCGGUUUGUUAAGUCAGAUGUGAAAUCCCCGGGCUCAACCUGGGAACUGCAUCUGAUACUGGCAAGCUUGAGUCUCGUAGAGGGGGGUAGAAUUCCAGGUGUAGCGGUGAAAUGCGUAGAGAUCUGGAG